ACUGGGUCCACCAAAAACUCAUAUGCCACCUACUUAGCAGAACCUUAAUGCUGCUCAGCGAUGCUUAAAUGUAUCUUACAUGUAACCUUCUGACUUCCCCCAUUUUGUUUCAUUCAUUCAGAUAUUUACUGCCCAUCAGUGUAUGCCAGGCACUGUUUGUUCUAAAUCUGGUCAUAAAAAGUUAUUGAAGGAAAUGAAGGCAGAUACCUUCAAUGACAAUACUGUCACUCCAUCAAUCACCCAGUUUGGAAAUCUUGGUAUCAUUCUUAUUGCCUGCUUCUUACUAUGCCCUCNNNNNNNNNNNNNNNNNNNNNNNNNNNNNNNNNNNNNNNNNNNNNNNNNNNNNNNNNNNNGAAUUACAAGCAUGAACCACUGUGCCCAACCUCAACUUAGAGGUAUUUUCAACUUAUGGUGGAUAUAUCAGUAUGUAACCCCAUGUACUGCAAACUCAAGGUCAAUUACUAAAAAAAGUUUUUUUAAAAAGUACGGGAUGGGCAGAGUAAAAAAAAAAAAAAAAAAAAAAAAAAAAAAAAAAAAAAAAAAAAAAAAAAAAAAAAAAAAAAAAAAAAAAAAAAAAAAAAAAAAAAAAAAAAAAAAAAAAAAAAAAAAAAAAAAAAAAAAAAAAAAAAAAAAAAAAAAAAAAAAAAAAAAAAAAAAAAAAAAAAAAAAAAAAAAAAUACUCAGGAGGCUGAGGCAGGAGAAUUGCCUGAACCCAGGAGGCCGAGGUUGCAGUGAGCCAAGAGCGUGCCACUGCCCUCUAGCCUGGGCGACAGAGUGAGACUCCCUCUCAAAAAAACAAACAGAAAAAGUACAAGACUUGUACACUGAACACUAUAAAAUGUUGCUGAAACUAAAGAUUUAAUAAAUAGAAAGACAUUUCACACUCAUAGAUUAGAAGACUUAGACGAUACUUCCAAGUUGAUCUACAGAUUCAAUGCAAUCCUUACCAAAAGCCCAGCUGGGUUUUUGUCGUUGUUGUUGCAGAAAUUGAUAAGCUGAUCCUAAAAUUUAUAUGGAAAUGCAAGGGACUCAGAAUAGCCAUAGAAUUUUUUAAAGAGAGAAAAGUUGGAGGAUUCAAACUUCUCAAUUUCAAAACCUAUAAUACUACAAAGCUAUAGUAAUCAAGAUAAUGUAGCACUGGUAUAAGGACAUAGAUCAAUGGAAAAAAACUUGAGACUCCAGAAAUAAACUCUCACAUUUAUGAUCAGUUGAUUUUCAACAAGGGUGACAUGACUAUUCAACUGGGAAAGAAUAGUAUUUUUGAUAAGUAGCAGUGGGACAAUUGGAUAUUCACAUGCAAAAUAAUCAGUUUGGACCCCUACCCACACCAUAUAUAAAAUUAACUCAGGCCAAGCAAGGUGGCUCACACCUGUAAUGCCGAGACUUUGGGAGGUCGAGGUAAGAGGACUGCUUGAGGCCAUGAGUUCAAGACUGGCCUGGGCAAGAUGGCAAGAACCCAUCUCUAUAAAAAAAUUAAAAAGUUAGAUGGGCAGAGUAAUGUGCACCUGUAGUCCCAGCUACUUGGGAGGCUGAGGUAGCAGGAUACCUUGAGCCCAGGAAUUCGAGGCUGCAGUGAUAGCGCUAUGAUUGGGGUCACUGCACUCCAGCCUGGGCAACAGAGUGAUACCCAGUCUCAAAAACAAAAGAAAAGAGAACUGUUACAAUUCAAUAUUAAAGACAAGUAAUCCAAUUUAAAAAUGGGUAGAGGGCCAGGUGCAGUGGCUCAUGCCUGUAAUUCCCGCACUUUGGGAGGCCGAGGCGAGUGGAUCACUUGAGGCCAGGAGUUCGAGACCAGCCUGGCCAACAUGGCAAAAAGCCAUCUCUACUAAAAACACAAAAAUUAGCUUGGACAUGGUGGCAUGUACCUGUAAUCCCAGCUACUCAGGAGGCUUAAAGCACAAGAAUCACUUGAAGCUGGGAGGCAGAGAUUGCAGUGAGCCGAGAUUGCUCCACUGCACUCUAGCCAGGGUGACAGAGUGAGAAUCUCUCUCCAAAAAAAAAAAAAAAAAAAAGAAAAGGGUAGAGGAUCAGAAUAGACUUUUAUCCAAAGAAGAUACAGAAAUGGCCAAUAAGCAUAUGGAAAGAUGCACUACAUCAUUAGUAAUCAGGGAAAUGCGCAUCAAAACCAAAAGAGAAACUACUUCAUACCCAACAGGAUGGCUAGAAUCAAAAACACAAAUAACAAGUACUGGUGAGGAUGUGGAGAAACUAGAACCCUCCUAUACUGGUAACAGAAAUGUAAAAUGGUACAACCACUUUGGAAAACAGUCUGAUAGUUCCUCAAAAAGUUAAAGAUACAAUGACUGUAUGACUCAGCAAUUUCAAUGCUAAGUAUAUAUGCAAGGGAAAUGAAAAUGUAUGUCCAUGCAAAAACCUGUACAUGGUUCACAGAGGCGUUAUUCGUAAUAGUCACAAAAAGUAGAAAGAACCCAAAUGUCUACUUACUGAUGAAUGGAAAAAUAAAAUGUGGUACAUCUAUACAAUGAAAUAUCAUUUGGUAAUAAAAAUGAAGUACUGAUACAUGCUGCAAUAUGUAUGAACCUUGACAUUAUGCUAAGUGACAGAAGCCAGUCACAAAAGACCACGUUAUCAUUUCCUUUAUAUGAAAUAUCCAAAUAGGUAAACUGUAUGAAACAGAAAGUAGAUUAGUAGUUACUUAGGACUAGGGUAGUUGGAGGGGUGCUAGCUAAAAGGUACAGGUUUUCUUUCUGAGGUGAUAAAAAUGUUUUAAAAUCAACUGUGGUGAUGAUUGUGUAACUGUGAAUAUGCUAAAGAAACAAUGAUAUGUACACUUUAAAGGGGUAAACUGUAUGAUGUGAAUUAUACCUCACUAAAUCUGUUUUAAAAAGAAAAGUGGAAUUAUAUUUCAUUAUAGCUCUUCAUUACCUAGUCCCUGUUUCCCCAUCCAGAGUCAUCUGAUGCCUCUCCUUCCCUCAAACUCCUCCUGGCACACUGAGCUUCCAGGACCCCUACAUGUAAUAUAUUCUUUUAAACCUCUGAGGCUUCCUUCUACCUGGAACAUUCUUACGGCCCUUCCUUCUCUAGCCAAAUCCUAUCUGUUCUUUAAAUCUUGGCUUAGAUGUCAUUCCUCUAUGUAGUCGUUUCUAACCUUCCAUGCCUGAGUUAGAGGCACAUCUAAUAUGCUUCAACUGCAAUACG
rnacentral:lncRNA from 1 species